CCUCUCCCAGGAUCACACCUGGAGAGUUUCCAAUACUCUACCAGUCUUGGCUACAGGUGGGAGAAUCAAGCAGAGGCCUUCCCAUUCCACUGUUAGCUAGGGCAUUGGCUAGCAAGUGGAAGGCAAUCUGCUACAAGU